rnacentral:rRNA from 1 species
UACAGAGGGGGCAAGCGUUGUUCGGAAUUACUGGGCGUAAAGGGCGCGUAGGCGGCCUUCUAAGUCGAACGUGAAAUCCCCGGGCUCAACCCGGGAACUGCGUCCGAUACUGGAUGGCUUGAGUUUGGGAGAGGGACGCGGAAUUCCAGGUGUAGCGGUGAAAUGCGUAGAUAUCUGGAGGAACACCGAUGGCGAAGGCAAUCCCCUGGGCCUGCACUGACGCUCAUGCACGAAAGCGUGGGGAGCAACAGG